rnacentral:rRNA from 1 species
CUCAGGACGAACGCUGGCGGCGUGCUUAACACAUGCAAGUCGAGCGGAAAGGCUCCUUCGGGGGUACUCGAGCGGCGAACGGGUGAGUAACACGUGAGUAAUCUGCCCUUGGCUUUGGGAUAAGCCCCGGAAACGGGGUCUAAUACCGGAUACGACGCACUCUCGCAUGGGAUGUGUGUGGAAAGUUUUUUCGGCCAGGGAUGUGCUCGCGGCCUAUCAGCUUGUUGGUGGGGUAAUGGCCUACCAAGGCUUCGACGGUAGCCGGCCUGAGAGGGUGACCGGCCACACUGGGACUGAGACACGGCCCAGACUCCUACGGGAGGCAGCAGUGGGGAAUAUUGGACAAUGGGCGGAAGCCUGAUCCAGCAACGCCGCGUGAGGGAUGACGGCCUUCGGGUUGUAAACCUCUUUCAGUACCGACGAAGCGCCGAUGAUGGUGGUGACGGUAGGUACUGAAGAAGCACCGGCCAACUACGUG